rnacentral:rRNA from 1 species
UCGCAUGGCCUUGCGCCGGCGACGGUUCAUUCAAAUUUCUGCCCUAUCAACUUUCGAUGGUAAGGUCUUGGCUUACCAUGGUUUCAACGGGUAACGGGGAAUUAGGGUUCGAUUCCGGAGAGGGAGCCUGAGAAACGGCUACCACAUCCAAGGAAGGCAGCAGGCGCGCAAAUUACCCAAUCCCGACACGGGGAGGUAGUGACAAUAAAUACUGAUACAGGGCUCUUUUGGGUCUUGUAAUUGGAAUGAGUACAAUUUAAACCUCUUAACGAGGAACAAUUGGAGGGCAAGUCUGGUGCCAGCAGCCGCGGUAAUUCCAGCUCCAAUAGCGUAUAUUAAAGUUGUUGCAGUUAAAAAGCUCGUAGUUGAACCUUGGGCCUGGCUGGCGGGUCCGCCUCACCGCGUGUACUCGACCGGCCGGGCCUUUCCUUCUGGAGAACCUCAUGCCCUUCACUGGGUGUGCUGGGGAACCAGGACUUUUACUGUGAAAAAAUUAGAGUGUUCAAAGCAGGCCUUUGCUCGAAUACGUUAGCAUGGAAUAAUAGAAUAGGACGUGCGGUCCUAUUUUGUUGGUUUCUAGGACCGCCGUAAUGAUUAAUAGGGACAGUCGGGGGCAUCAGUAUUCAAUUGUCAGAGGUGAAAUUCUUGGAUUUAUUGAAGACUAACUACUGCGAAAGCAUUUGCCAAGGAUGUUUUCAUUAAUCAGUGAACGAAAGUUAGGGGAUCGAAGACGAUCAGAUACCGUCGUAGUCUUAACCGUAAACUAUGCCGACUAGGGAUCGGGCGUUGUUUAUACCUUGACACGCUCGGCACCUUACGAGAAAUCAAAGU